AUACGUAGGGUGCAAGCGUUAUCCGGAAUUAUUGGGCGUAAAGAGCUCGUAGGCGGUUUGUCGCGUCUGCUGUGAAAACCCGAGGCUCAACCUCGGGCCUGCAGUGGGUACGGGCAGACUAGAGUGCGGUAGGGGAGAUUGGAAUUCCUGGUGUAGCGGUGGAAUGCGCAGAUAUCAGGAGGAACACCGAUGGCGAAGGCAGAUCUCUGGGCCGUAACUGACGCUGAGGAGCGAAAGCAUGGGGAGCGAACAGGAUUAGAUACCCUGGUAGUCCAUGCCGUAAACGUUGGGCGCUAGAUGUGGGGACCAUUCCACGGUUUCCGUGUCGCAGCUAACGCAUUAAGCGCCCCGCCUGGGGAGUACGGCCGCAAGGCUAAA
rnacentral:rRNA from 1 species